GUUCAGGUCAUCCCCUGUCCACUGGCAUUGAAAAACCACUGCUCCAGUGUGCUUCAGGGACACGACCACCUCAAGGGAUUCCUUACUUGAUCUGUUAUGGAGACCAGACUACAAGGUCUCCAACUGAGGAGAAGACAGUUCUGCUGUACUUUUCUCUCCAAGACUGACGAAAAGAUGUGGGGAUAGCUGAAAUUGUCCAAAAGGUGAAUGAAAGUCAAUGAGAAGCAGCACAACAACCUUUGUCAAAGUUUCGCAAAUGUAAGCGGGCCUGGCUACAGGGCACCUGCCAGGAGUCAGCCUUCUGAUUCCAGAUCCAGGCUGCAGUUCUGCAAUGUGCACCAUUUGGCAAGUAACCAGGUGAGAAUCUGUUCAUGACGAGGGCAUCGCUCUGGGCGUGAGGAAGAUCCUAGUGAGAAUAGCAGCUUUAGAAAGAAAAGCUUCCACGAUGAUGAUACCCAAGGCGUGGGUGACGGUGCAGAGGCGGAAAGUUCAGAUGUCGAAGUAAGCAGGGACUCUCAGAGCCUCCGAAAUUCCUGGGAAUGAAAGGAAAAAUUCAUUUUGCUCUAAGAUAGAGACCAUAUCAAGGACUUAACUUUUAUCACUCCAUAAGAUGCUGAGUUGUGUAUAAAAACUGGAUUUUUUUGUUCUUCUUGGAUGAAAAGGUAAAAGAAUAAUUGAAUCUCUUCCAGCACCUUCAGAAGUCAAGCCAACAAAGCUAGCUGACAAAUACACUAGGUCUCGUGUAAAUAAAUACAUGCCGUCCUGCAAAUCUUGAUUGAUGUCUAGAUAAUACACAAUAAUAUUCACUGUAACAUUUUAUUACCAUAUGUAGCAUUUUCAUAAACUUCAAACUUAUUAAAGCAAUUUCAAAGAGUUUUGGGUUUUGAUGGUAACUUCUAAGUGACUCCUGUGUUACUGAGGGGCCAAUCAAUGUUGGGUCUCCUUCUUUGAUGAUAUUCUGGGGCAGAAGGAAUAGUGAAAUGGAAGUAUUAUUUCAAAAUUUAACGAGGGGAUUCUAAAUUUUAAAUACAUGAUACUGUAUGUCAGACUCUUAGGAGUACAACAGGAAAACAGCAACAAUGUAAGUUAUAGAUCCUUAAUGCUCAGAACGGUACCAGGCACACUGUGGCCACUCUCUUACUAGAUUAAUGAAUGAAGUGUGAAUAUGUCACAGUGAAAUUUAUUCACAUGUCUUCUUUGCUAAGCCCUACACUCUGUGUCUUAUAAAUCUUUAUAUCUUCAAUACCUUACUCAGUGCCUGGCACAUAGUAGGUGUUUGUGAAAUAUUUGA
rnacentral:lncRNA from 1 species